UUAGGUUCGCCUUACAGCUGCUUACAAGAGGCACAAGAAGGUAGUCACUUUUGCAGCUGUGGAAGAUAAGGCACUCAGGCCUGACAGACUCUGUAGCCAGCAGGAUCCAUAGCCUUGCUAUCUUCAUCAGAAAUGACCUGCCAUACACUACCAUGCACUACCAUCAUUUGGCACCAUUAGGCAAUCCUAGGGUGAAGAGACUGGUUGUUUUAAAUUAGCUUAGCGUUCUAAAUAAAUUUUCCACAUCCGCUAGAUUCUUGUCCUCUUCAGAGGUACCAGAUGGACAAAACCAUCUGUCAGAGAUUAAUUCAAACACUAAAAUAACCAGAGUAUUUGUUAAAAAAUGUCAAGUUCCAAGAAAAUCUUUGCUUUUAACAUUGUGCAAAUUAAAUGGCUCUUUUUUCUCAAGGGUCAGCAUUUAUAGUUGCUUGUAUAAUACAUUGCUGUUUCAGAAACAACAGAUUAUUUCCUAGCUUUGCUUUUUACAAGCAAGAGGUUUCUGAAGGCCUCUGAAAUGAGGGAAACUGAAAAUGACACAAGGAAACUAGAGAGAGAGAGAAAGGGAUGAAGUCACUGUGGAAAGGCAAGAGGGGACUAUCAAGUGCCAGUGUUAAGAGAUCAGAAAGGGCCAUAUUCACCUACUGAACAAAAAUCUUUGUGGAAUUAAAAGAAUAGCCACCUUUAUAGAUAGGGGCCUACUGCACUCAAGGAGGCAGCCAGCUGGUUCUGCAAGCAGAUUGCAGGGCCAGCUACAAUAUUCAUGAGUGCAGUAGGGCCUCCCCACACUUUUGAUUGGCUGAGAGGCCCCAGCAGUUUCACCCCGCCCAAGAUUGCCACAUGGCCUGAAACUGCAGUUUAAUUACCCUGAUUAAGCCAUUAAUCCACAUGAUAUUAAACAUGGAUUAAUAGCUUCUCUGGGCUUAAUCAGGGUGAUUAAGCUGUGAUUUUGGGCCAUCCCCGGGCUUGCUGCAAAAAUAAAAUAAAGAAACCCAAACUUACUGGCAAGGAGGAAAGCACCUGGGAAGCCCUGCAGUCUUGGAGCCUAGGGAGGAAGGCAAAGGGAGAAGAGCAGGGGGAGGGGAGGAGCGGGGGGCAGGAUGGAGGCACCCUAACCCUAACCCUCCUCCCUGCCACUUCCAUUCCAUUCCCUGUUAUUUUGCAUAACCCCAUCUCCUUUCCAUAGCCCCAAUCCUUCACUUGUAUAACCCCACCUCCAAUCCUACCCCGCCAUUCCUUUCCCUGCCUCUCAUUCCUUCAUUUGCAUAACCCCACCCACAUUUCCCCGACCUCUGGGAAUCACUCCACCUCCCUCCCUCCUUGUUCCAUUAAUUGCAUAACCCCGCUCCCACUCCUGCCUGGCCUGCUUCUGUGGGGGAUGGAGAUAUCCAUCUGCCAGCCUGAACUGUUGUCUCAGGAAGUCUGCUGUUUGCCCGGAGCCCAGAUCCAAGAUACCACAGAAGGAUUACCAAAACCCAUCUAGCCCUCAGGCUGCUUAUCCAUGUGGGUGCCAAUGAUACUGCUAGUAGUGAACCUGAGCAGAUCAAAAAUUACUACAGAGCUCUGGGUGCAAAGUGAAGGGGACAGGGGCUCAGGUGGCAUUCUCCUCAAUCCUUUUGGUAAAGGGGAAGAGCCCGGGAAGGAGUGGAUGCAUCCUGAAAAUCAGUCCGUGGCUGCCCAGAUGGGGUCACUAGCAGGGCUUUGGCUUCUUCAACCAUGGGAUGUUAUUCCAAGAAGGAUUGCUAGGAAGAGAUCGGCUCCACCUGACAGGGAGGGAAAAGCAUCUUUGCAGACAGGCUCGCUAAUCUAAUAAGGGGGACUUUAAAUUAGGUUUGCCUGGGGAUGGAGACCAAAGUCCUGAGAUAAGUGGAGAAGUGGGUGACCUGGAGGAAGCACAGGCAACAAGGGAAGCACUCUCAUUCUUCUUGACAAAGUAGGGCAAUCAGCUAGUUAUCUCAGGUGUCUGUACACAAACACACGGAGCCUGGGAAACAGCAGAAAGAACUGGAAGUCCUCACACAGUCAUGGAACUAUGAUGUGAUUGGAAUUAGAGACUUGGUGGGAUAGCUCGCAUGUCUGGAGUAUUGUCAUGGAUGGAUGCAAACUGUUCAGGAAGGAUGGGCAGGGAAGAAGAAGAGGAGGAGUUGUGCUUUAUGUAAAAGAGCUGUACGAUUGCUCAGAGCUCCAGUAUGAAACUGGAAACAGGCCUGUUGGAAGUCUCUGGGUUAGGGUCAAAGGGGAGAGCAACAAGAGUAAUGUUGUGGUGGGUGUCUGCUCCACCAGACCAGGAGGAUGAGGUGAUUAAGGCUUUCUUCAAACAGUUAAUGGAAGUUUCCCGAUGACAGGCCCUGGUUCUCAUGUGGGACUUCAAUCUCCCUGACAUCUGCUGGGAGGACAAUAUAGCAGUGAACAGGCAAACUUUUGGAGAGAGCUGGGGAUAACUUCCUGAUGCAAGUGUUGGAGAGGCCAAUGAGGGGUGAUGAUCUUCUUGACCUGGUGCUCAUGAACAUGGAAGAAUUGGUGGGCAAUGUAGAUAUGGAUGGCAACUUGGACGGCAGUGACCAUGAGAUGAUUGAGUUCAGGAUCCUGAGGAAAAGAGAGCAGCGGAGAAAGGAUCCUGGACUUCAGAAAAGCAGACUUUGACUCACUCUGAUAACUGAUGGGCAGGAUCCCCUGGCAGGCAAGUCGAUGGAGGAAAGGAAUCCAGGAGAGUUGGCUGUAUUUUAAAGAAACCUUACUGAGAGCACAGGAAUGAACCAUUCCUAUGCACAGGAAGACUAGAAAGUAUGGUAUAAGACCAGUUUGGCUUAGCGAGGAACUCUUCAUGAGCUAAACACAAAAAAAAGCUUACAAAAAGUGGAAACUUGGACAAACACCUAGGGAGAAGUGUAAGGAUAUUGCUUGGGCAUGUAGGGAUGAUAUCAGGAAGGCCAAAGCACUACUGGAGUUGCAGCUAGCAAGGGCCAAGGAGGGUAACAAGAAGAGUUUCUACAAGUAUGUUAGCAACAAGAGGAAGAUCAGGGAAAGUGUGGGUCCCCUACUGAAUGGAGAAGACAACCUAGUUACAGAUGAUGCAGAAAAGGCUAAAGUACUCAAUGCCUUUUUCAUCUAAUUUUUCACAGGUAAAGUCAGAUCCCAGACUACUGCACCUGGCAGCACAGUUUGGGGAGAAGGUGAACAGCCAACAGUGAAAGAGCAGGUUAGGGACUAUUUAGAAAAGAUGAAGGUGUACAAAUGCAUGGGGCUGGAUACGAUGCACCCAAGGGUGCUGAGGGAGUUGGCCAAUGUGAUGUAAAACUGCUGGCCAUUACCUUUGAUAUGGCCUCCCACAAGAAUCUUUCAAGUAAGCUAAGAAAGUACAGGUUGGAUGAAAGGACUGUAAGGUGGAUAGAAAACUGUCUGUAUCGUUGGGCUCAAAGGGUAGUAAUCAUGGCUUGAUGUCUAGUUGGCAGCCAGUAUCAAGUGGAGUGUCCCAAGGGUCAGUCCUAGGGCCCAUUUUAUUCAAUAUCUUCAUCAGUGACCUGGAAGAUGGGAUGGAGUGCACCCUCAGCAAGUUUGCAGAUGACACCAAGCUUGGGGGAGUAGUAAAUGCCAUGAAGGGUAAGGCUAGGAUUCAGAGAGACCUCAACAAAUUAGAGGAUUGGACCAAAAAAAAUCUUAUGAGGUUCAAUAAGGAGAAGUGCAAAGUCCUGCAUUUAGGAUGGAACAAUCCCAUGUACUGGCACAGGCUGGGGACCCACUUGCUAAGCAGCAGCUCUACAGAAAAGGACUUGGGGGUUACAGUGGACAAUAAACUGAAUAUGAGACAACAGUGCGGCCUUGUUGUGAAGAAGGCUAAUGGCAUUCCACAGUGCAUUAGUAGUAGCAUUGCCAGCAGAUCAUGGGCAGUGAUUCUUCCCCUCUAUUUGGCAUUGGUGAGGUCACAUCUGGAAUCCAGUGUCCAGUUUUGGGCCCCACACUACAGAAAGUAUGUGGACAGAAGGGAGAGAGAGUCCAGUGAGGGCAACAAAAAUGGUUAGGGGGUGGGGAACAUAACUUCUGAGAAAAGGCUGAGGAAACUGGGCUUAUUUAGUCUGGAGAAGAAAAGACUGAGGGAGGAUUUAAUAGUAGUCUUCAACCACCUGAUGGGUGGUUCCAAAGAGGAUGAAGCUGGACUGUUGUCAGUGGUGGCAGAUGACAGAACAUGGAACAAAGGUCUCAAGUUCCAGCGAGGGAAGUUUAAGUUAGCUGUUAGGAAUAACUUUCUCACAAGGGGGUUAAUAAUGCAUGGAACAGUCUACCCAUGGAAGUUGUGAAUUCUCAGUCCUUGGCAGUUUUUAAGAUCUGGCUAGACAAAGCCUUGGGUGGGAUGAUAUAGUUGGAGGUAAUCCUGCUUUGAGCAGGGGGUUGGACAAGAUGAACUCCUGAGGUCCCUUUCAACCCUAAUUUUCUAUAUUCUAUGAUUUUUAUCUGGUGUUGCAUAUUGUUGUCUAUGUUUACUUUUUGGGAAAUGCAGCUCUCCAGGUAAUGAAAAUGCUCAACAUUCUCCAGGGAUUUCCCUUUAAUUGUAAUGUGUAAAGGAGCCUCUAGUUGGUUUGGAGUGAGUUGGUAAAGUAUCUUGGUUUUUGUGAAGUUGACAAUGAGUCCAAUCAAUUUGUAUACUUUGAAGAAGCAAUCAAGCAAGCAAUCUUCAAUAAUAUAGAGGGUUUUAAAAAGUUAGUAAGAGUGUUGCAACGUGAGAGGCAAAAUUAAAUCUCCCCAUGUAAUAUUGGGGUCUGGUGUUUCCCCAUGAUAUCAAUGGCAGAAUUUUUGGCAGUUUCAGAUGUGAGCAGGAGCACCAAAGCCGUUUGUAGUUGUGGAAGCAAUGGGUUUUGCCUCAGUAGAUAAUAGAAACAAGCAACUCUCACAAGCAAUGAUACCAUUGAAAAGAAGCUGCCACCUUAGCUCAUGCAUUGCAUGUUAUAGAGUGCCCAGGGCUGAAACAUUUGGGCACCCCAUAGCAUGGCAGGACUAGAAAGAAAUGAAGUGUUAGUACUCCUGUCUGCAGAAGACUCCAGUUCCCAAAGUUUCCCACUUGGCAGCCUGCACCAACAAUGCCUAGCAAUACCUGCUCCCCAAAGGAUGUUAGGACUCCUGCAAGCAGGUGUUGAAAAAGCCAUUAUCCUUAUACAACUGUAAUAGAAAACACAGCUGUGUAGCAGCUGUUCUUUGUGUGUAACUUAACAAGCUCAAAAUAUUUAUUGGUUUUAUAACAACGAUGAAGAGAUACCCAUCUCAAAGCUUGGCAUGGCCCAUCUUUUCUUUCAUAUGGCAUUAGAUGUCCUGCAGGCAGGCUUGAACCCUUAACAAGAUUAGCCUCAAUUGAUUCAGCAACAUUUUAGUGCCCCAUCCCAUGGUACCUUCACUUUCUACCAAGGCCUGCAAAUUACAAGUAAGCUGUGGCGAAUGCCCUGAAGGUUAGUAUAGCAUUUCUCAACCACAGUUCCUAACUACCCAGAUCCACUAUCAUCCCCAUCUAACGGUUGGGGAAGGCACAAAGGGCUUUAAGUGAUUAGUCUAAGACCACACUGGUAGUCAGUGGCAAAGCUGGGAAAGUCAGCCUCCUGCUUCCAAUCCAGUGUAUUUUCCACCAGAUCUCUCCAUUUCCACUAACCCAGCCCAUCAACAAGAAUUUUCCUCAAUCGACUGGUUUGCUCUGAUGAAGUGCAGAUUUUUGCUAAUAUGCCAGGCUUAGUGGCAGGUCUCCAUUCUGGGUUAGUUUUCUUGUUCAGGGGCAACCUAUCUUGAUCAGAUGGCAAGAGAUAUAGGCAAGAGGCAUCAGGGGGUUUUGUCUGGUUUUUUUUUAGGGGGGGUUGUUUUGUUUCUUAGCUAAAGGAACUUUUAUACCAAAGGGUAAAACAAGCUUAAUCUGAGGCACUUGGAGGAAAGGUUCCUAAUGUAAUUCCAUCUUGUGCGCCUCACAAGACAAUAAGCAAACAGGGUGGGAGCUGGAGGGUUUUAUCCAUAGAAUCCUGAAAAUCACAGAGUCCAAAAAGUGGGGUAACGAACUAUCUGUCAAAUGUGUAGUGAAGGAGCAAAAACAGGACUUGUGUUUCUUUAAAUCUCUUUUUAAAUUCAUACAUUUCAGAUUCUUUAAAUACAGUAGAUUGCCUACACUUUGCUCACAGCUCUGAAGCUUUUUGUCUUCACCCUUGGAUCCAUGUCACAGACUGUGCUAAGCAAGAUAGGUUUUUUAUUAUUGUUUUAGCUCUCUCUCCACUGUGAGAGCUCCAAAGUAACAGCCAGUUGCAUCAAAAGGACACCAAUGUUGUUUUUACCACCCUCUGAACAAACCCUACAUAGAACAAACCUCUUUUGCAGUUCUUUGAGUCAGUGGGUCCUCUGGAGUAGAUGCCAUGCACUCUAUUGUGAAUGACAAAGUGCCCCACACAUUGAGUGUCAAUUUCAACAAAUAAUUAACAGCCAAAACUUUCUAGCAAAUCUUCAUCAAUCCUACCAUAUUGCCAAAAUAUGUGCCUUGGAUAGCAGGGGAAAAUGCAUACAGUAUGGAUUCUGUAGAGUUUAAAUGCAUUAUUUAGCAGGGGUCAUCUUCAAGUGCUAUACAGAAAUCUAUAUGUUUAAUCCUCUUAGUCACUGUGGUGCAGGUCAGGAGCUAUCCAUGUUUUUACAAAUGGAGAAAUUGUACUAGAGAGGUUAUGUAAUUCAGGCCUGUGAUGUGAUAUCAUGGAACUACUGUCCGAGCCCCCAAGGUCUGGAAUAGCCUGCCGCCAGAGGUGGUUCAAGUACCUACUUUGAACGCCUUCAAGAGAAAUCUGGAUGUUUUAUCUUGCUGGGAUCCUAUGAUCCCUGCUGACUUCCUGCUCCUGGGGCAGGGGGCUGGACUCGAUGAUCUUCCGAGGUCCCUUCCAGCCCUAAUGUCUAUGAAAUCUAUGAAACCUAGAUAACACAAAGCCUACAACUGUCCGCUUUUUUGCCUAUCCCUGCUCUCCUAUCACUGCCACGACUAGUGGAACUACAACCAAGGGCUGUGUUUGGUUAAUUGUGGGAGAGUUCCCAAAAGAAUAUUAAAGACAAUGCCUAAGAGCCACAAGAAUGUGAUAUACACAGAUCUAGGAGUAUUGAUGUUCCCUGAUGUAAGAAACCACCAACUCAAGUAUGGAUAUGUAAGGUAGGAACUUCAAGAUCUCCCCUAACUGACCUAAUACUUUUCUCACUGAAGCAAACUGGAAAAAAAAAACAGACGAUGGCUUUUUUUCCCCUCUCCCAGCCUGAGUCCUCAGUUCCUCACCUUCUGACUCCAGUUUGGAACGUUCCUUGCUUAUAAAAUGAGCUGGAUGCACACUGAGAUUUCUCCUUCAGAUAAUACUGUAGAGUUCAGAGAUUAAAGAUUAUUCAAGUCAUGGAAACACUCAGCUGUCAAGAAAAUAGAACCCAGUAAUUUUUUUUUAAACGUAUUUUGGCUUCCAUUUUUACUUAAUGGAGAAAAUAAUCACGUAUAAUCAACUACCAGAUCAAAUCAGCUGUAAUUCCUGUUUUGGGUUAUAAAGUCUAGUUAUUUGUCUUCAGAUGUAGUUUGUCAUGUGUUUGACAGUAUCUUUUCCAUGUCCUGUCUUCUCUGGUUUUGUUCACAGCAGUCAAUGUUACUAAUAUCAUUCUACACACUCAUUCUUGAUUUACUAUUGUUGUGCUUGGUCUUUUCCUUGUUAUUUUUGAUGGUUUUGUAUUUAGUUAGAUGUCUGGAGUGUGACCCAGCUCUCAGUGACUUCAGUGGGUGCCUCAGCAGGUACCUGACAUUUUUUCAUUCUCUAUAAAAAUGAACAUCCACAAGGCAAUAAUCAUAGAAAAGAUGGAUGGUAUAGCAGUUAGGUGGUUGGCUAGUAUUUGGGAAAUCUGACUUCAGUUCCAUGAUCUGCCAUGUAUUCCUCGUGUGACCUUGAACAAAUCACUUACUCUCUCUACACAUAUGUUCUCCCUCUGUAAAAUGAUAGUACUUCCCUACCUGACACAGACAGUGGGAAAAAAAAUCAUAUGUAGAACCUAUAUUUAAGAAAGGAUGGGGGAAAGAGAAAGUGAUUUGUGCAACUAUCAGUGAGUGUGUGCAGGGUUUUAGAAUAAAUUUUUAAGGAAAAACUAAUGGCAAUAUAAAUAGAAAGAGGGACAAAAUGCAACAUGGAUUUACCAAAGGUAGAUCAUUCCAAACUAACCUGAUAUUCUUUGAGAAGAUGACUGAUUUUUGGAAAAGCAUUACAUGUAAUCUGGCUGGAGUUUAGCAUGGCAGUUGACAUAGUACUACCAUGGGAAUUAUUAAAGCAGAGAAGAGGGAAAUAACUGCAGCAAUUGUAAAGCAGGUGUAGCCCGGGUACACCCAAGGGUGUGCCCUGAUCCCAAUCACAAAGGAGGGGAGAGAAGUGAAGGUGCUGUGGGAGGGAUCACCAUCACUGACAUGUGGUUCCCUCCUUCCUCCAUAGAGUUAGACUCUAGACAGGCUCUUAACUACUUACAAUAUUUAUUAACAUAUAAUAUACAUAAACAUAAAACUAAAUAUCAUAUACAUAUAUUUACACAGUGACCAUUAACCAAUAACCAACGUCAAACCCUAAAUAACACUGUGGGAAAAAAAUCACUUCCAACCACGAUCUUCAGGAAAAACAAUAUAUAAACAAUAAACCCACAGCUUCACCACCCCACAGUGGGGAACCUGUACUCAAUUAAAGGGUCAUGCAAAGUGUAACAGGGGAGAUGUGAUUUUACCCCACAUCACGACGAGGGACAUGCUCAGCUGGGAUGGGCUUCACCUGUCCCCCAAAGGUAAGCGUGUGUUUUCUACUAGGUUGGCAGAUCUCCUCCGGCGGGCUUUAAACUAGGCUCGUCGGGGGGAGGGGAGUACGAGGGCAGGGGAAGCUGUGGACCACCAAACCAUGUGGCACCCACAAGGACAGCCCAGCCUGAAGAAGGAGAACAUUGGGAACCUGAAAGCCAUGGGGAGACCAGCACUACAGAACAGGCACAUGGCUCUUUAUAUACCAUUCAGGGCUCCGUCAGUGAAGUCUUCUGGACCUGACAGUGUUGCAGUCUACAAUCAAGUCUGUGGAGCUCCUCUCUCCCUCCCUUCAGAAAAGGGGCGUGACUUCACUCCUCUUGCUGCCUCCUUUUUGGUGGGUGGGCUCCACCAAUCAAACAGCAGACUCUCAAGCCUGGGACUCAACCCAAGCUCCGAAAGGUAAGCCUGCUACAUAGGUAAGGAGUUAACUAAGGAGGAAAUGACAGUUGUCCUAAAAGAGCUGGAGAAAGAUAAAUGGUGGCAUCCUCCAGAAGUAGUUUGGGGACCAGUCAUUAAUAUUUUCAUUAGUACCAUUCCUGGGAAAAAUAAAUAAAUAAAUAAAUAAAUAAAGGAGAAGGGCAUGUGCCUCAGCGGGAGUCCCCCAUGCACCUGAACAAGCCGCCUGGGCUCCAACCCUCCCCCUGGCCCAGCCGGGGUCCCAUUCACCCCUGCCCCACUCCCUCCCUCACUAUGGGGCCUCAAUCUGCCCCCGUCCCAACUGACCUGCUGGGUGUGGGCAGAGGGGGUAGGGGCUGGAAAUCCUGGAUUGCCCUUUACUUCAAAGAGUGAUCUUCACCUUAAAAAGGUUGGAGACCACUGCCAUAGAAGAACUGGUUCUCACUGAAGUUGAUCCUGUGGCAGAAGGCCACCUGUGUUUCUCCCCAAAAACUCUGUUCUGUGACAAUGUGGUUAAGAUGGGCCCUGCAGAGGGUACACACCUUACCCUAUCUCUUUAGGUAACCUGAGCUGGAUACAUUCCUGAGGGAGGGGGGAAACCUGGUCCCUCUGCCUACGUGACUGACAUCACAUACCUGGGUGAGGGGCUUGGGCUCCCUGUUGGGCUAGAGACUGCCAGUCUACCCAGCAACCAGUGAUGCAUUUCAAAUUGGUUGGCUGACAGCCAACAGGUGCUGGCCUCCAUUGGACCAAGUAAAUGAGGUCAUAAGGGCUAUAAGUUAAGGACUGCCCAGGAGGAAGGGGCAGCAGCCAUGAGGAAGACUCAGAGAGAGAGAAGAGCUGGAGCGUCUGAAAUUUGCUCUCUCUCAAAACUCAUGAUCAAGGAACUGCCUGCCUCCAGAGGGAAUCUCCACCUGCCUCUGGAUGAUACUCGUGAGUAAGCUGCCUGAUACCUAACUAGAUAUAUAGCUUGCAGUAACUCAGAUGUGUGAUCAAAGGCUACUCCAGCCACCCUGUUUGCUCUAUGGGAUUUCUCUGAUACUACUCAACUCUGUACCCUAUUCCAACACUACUCCUCAUAACCAAUAAAGUUCUCCUUUGUACCUAG